GAAACCAAAAUUCAAACGUAGGUGAUGUGUAAGACUCCAUAAGCUCCCUACCCAGGUCCUUGGUCAUCCAGAGGUCACCCCGAGAAUCACAUAUGGCUGAUGACUUCCUGUAUUUCUGCACAGGGGUGUCCUCUGAUCCUCUGAGGGUUGAGCAAGUUAAUGCCCUCAACCAGGAAAUUGAUGAGACAGGCAGAGGGAGACCUACACAUGGAGAGAAGGGAGUGAAUUGAUGACAGAGCAGAGAAAGACUGAAGAUGCUGGACUUGGAUGCUGGAGUGAUGCAGCCACAGCCCAGGAAGGCCAGUGGGCACUAGAGCUGGAACAUAUGAGGAACCAGUUCCAUCCCCAGAGCCCUCAGAGGGAGAAGAACCCUGCUCACACCUUGGUUUGCAUCCGGUGAUACAGAUUUCAGAUUUCUGACCUCUGGAACCUUGAGAGAAUCUAUUUCUGUUGUUUUAAGCCACCAGCUUUGUGGCACUUUGUUACAGAAUCUGCAGAAACCAAAACACAAGCUAAGAUCACUUUGUUUGCAGACAGGCUGACGCAGAUGGUGAGAGACCACGGCACCGGAUAUGAAGGUGAUACAACGUUGGAGGUAAGAGUGAAAGUGGUCCCCAAGCUGAGAUGAGUUAGUUCAAUAGCUUGGCACUUUAUGAUGUUUUUUUUUUUUUUUUUUUUUGCUGCACUGCACAGCAUGUGGGAUCUAAUUUCCCCCAUGAGGGACUGAACCAAUGCCCCUAGCGUUGGAAGCUCAGAAUCUUAACCACUGGACCCCAGAGAAGUCCCUCAAUAGCUUGGAACUUUAGAAUAAAGCUAAGAUGAAACAGAUGAGAGAGAAGGUUAGAUUUUCAGAAGAACCCAUUGCCAAGCACACAAUGGGUUGAGAAGUUCUGGCCAGGUAGUAAUUUCUUUGGAAAGGAGCUCAGGGCUCUAUUUGUCAAGAGUAUUUGUCUAUACUGUUGACAUUCAUUCAUGCUACACUGUCUCUCUUUUUUUUUUUUUUUUAGAAGAACAGGAUUUGGGACGCUUUGUGGGAGGGCAGUGUCCAGUUCUUGGGGGGCUUGGGGGGAGAUCCUAGGCACUGACUGCUGGUUGGAAUGUCUGGGAUAACCGUUACAUUUUUAACACUUCUUUCCUUUUUUUACAAUGAGGGGCAGGAAGUAAGGAAUCAGGAAACAAGUGUGCUGGGUCAUUGACCCUGUCCAUCCUCUCCCUUCCACCACUCUGCAUCGUGCCCCUCACCCCUUCAAACUUUACCACCCAGAACAUGAAGCUACAUAACACCAUGUAAUGUGUAAUAAAAUAGAGUCGCCUAAA